rnacentral:rRNA from 1 species
AUUGAACGCUGGCGGCAGGCCUAACACAUGCAAGUCGAGCGGAUGAAGGGAGCUUGCUCCUGGAUUCAGCGGCGGACGGGUGAGUAAUGCCUAGGAAUCUGCCUGGUAGUGGGGGGUAACGUCCGGAAACGGGCGCUAAUACCGCAUACGUCCUGAGGGAGAAAGUGGGGGAUCUUCGGACCUCACGCUAUCAGAUGAGCCUAGGUCGGAUUAGCUAGUUGGUGGGGUAAAGGCCUACCAAGGCGACGAUCCGUAACUGGUCUGAGAGGAUGAUCAGUCACACUGGAACUGAGACACGGUCCAGACUCCUACGGGAGGCAGCAGUGGGGAAUAUUGGACAAUGGGCGAAAGCCUGAUCCUGCCAUGCCGCGUGUGUGAAGAAGGUCUUCGGAUUGUAAAGCACUUUAAGUUGGGAGGAAGGGCAGUAAGUUAAUACCUUGCUGUUUUGACGUUACCAACAGAAUAAGCACCGGCUAACUUCGUG